rnacentral:rRNA from 1 species
UACGUAGGGGGCUAGCGUUGUCCGGAAUCAUUGGGCGUAAAGCGCGUGUAGGCGGUCCGGUAAGUCCGCUGUGAAAGUCGGGGGCUCAACCCUCGGAUGCCGGUGGAUACUGUCGGGCUUGAGUACGGAAGAGGUGAGUGGAAUUCCUGGUGUAGCGGUGAAAUGCGCAGAUAUCAGGAAGAACACCCGUGGCGAAGGCGGCUCUCUGGGACGGUACUGACGCUGAGACGCGAAAGCGUGGGGAGCGAACAGG